GCAAAGGGAAGCUCAUCAGUUGGGCUACAAGCAAAUGUGUCACGUCACUCUACCACAGCCCUUGGAAAGGUCUGAGACCAGGGUCGAUAGCAGCCCUGACAGGGCUGUCACUGAGCCCCAGGAAAGUGAGUGCCCAGAAAGCUGGGCUCCAUGAGGGAGCAGACUGGGAAGGAGGCGAAAAGGACGGGGGCCAUCUCCUGGCUCCACAUAAGGAGACAAAAUCUGUGUGUCAGGGGACAGUCAGAGACUUGUUCUGAGGUGGUACCUCCUGGGGACAUGAAGGUGAAGUGGGGGUACCUUACAUCUUUGGUCCUCAGCCUUGAUUCCCCGGUAAGGGCAAAAUGCACUUGACUUUCUGGGGCAUGCUGUUUAAGAGACAGACCUAAAAAUUAAAGACGUAAAAUAGUUCAAAGUUAAUAACUAUGGGGACAAAACAGACCAGCAAACCUUAAACCAAAGAAAGUAGAACAAGAACAACACUGAGCAAAACAGGCUUAAUGAGAACACACUACUAGGCUGAAAAUUCUCCCAUUAGU
rnacentral:RNase_P_RNA from 2 species